GAAUUAUUAACUGUUAUUAUUCACUCAAUUACUUGUCUCACAUUAACGGUGAUAUCAGAAGGAAGAAGUAAAACAUCAAAUUGCUAGAACAAUAUUCAAAGCUCAGGAGUAAGAUGAUCCUGAAUAAUCACAAUUUUCAUCAUCAUUCUUUAGCUAGCGUGGGUUGUUGCUCCUCGUUGAAAUAAUCAUUCCGGAUUUUUCGUGAAAGCUGGUAUAUGCCUGUUCCAGCCAUUGCCACAUUUACACUAAAGAGGUUCCAGUUUUUUGGAGUAAUCACCAAGCUAUAGCGAGACCAUAUAAUUCCAGUUGCUGUAACCGCUAUUUGUUGAGGAUAUGAAAUCUUUUCUGGAGGUUUAGCAAAGUCUGCAAUAUUUGCAAUACUGAUGCCCCACUUGAAGGUUGGUGCCCAGAAAUGAAUGGUCUUUGGACCAGCGGGAUGAUUCCAUAGAGCCUGGAGCUUUGAAGUCGCCAUGAAAGUAAAAACCUCAGCUUCUG
rnacentral:misc_RNA from 1 species